AGUCACUGACAUUAGAUACCCCCUGUAGUCCAGGGUGUAAACGCUGCAGACUUGGUGUUGGAAGCCCUUUGGGGGCAUUCAGUGCCGGAGAGAAGUUGUUAAGUCUGCUACUUGGGGAGUACGUCCGCAAGGAUGAAACUUAAAGGAAUUGGCGGGGGAGCACCGCAACGGGAGGAGCGUGCGGUUUAAUUGGAUUCAACACCGGAAAACUCACCAGGGAAGACUGUUACAUGAAAGCCGAGAUGAAGACUCUGCUAGAUUUUCAG
rnacentral:rRNA from 1 species